GUCUACCACCCCCCCCAAAAAAAAAAACUGGAACGAUACAGAGGAGAUUAGCAUGACCCCUGCGCAAGGAUGACACACAAAUUCGUGAAGCAAUCCAUCUUUUU